ACGUUUGGAUGAUUACAUGAGACAUUAUGUGCUGCAGACGACGAAUCAAGUAACAAACCAAAGGAUGAGGACAGUAGUUUUUCUGUGCCAGCCGUGGUUCAUACAGAAACAUCCUUUGUGAAGAUGUGUGAGAGAAGCUUACAAGGCAAGAUUUAGUUUUUUUUAUAAAAGAAAAAAAGGGAUAUUUAUAUAUUUUUGGUAAUUGGAAGAGUUAUGUUUUAUUCCCUGUAAAGUAGGAAUAAUGAAUUUUGUAAAAAUGUAAUCUAUUUUUAAAGCCCAGUGUCAAUGAAGAUGGUGUGAUCAGUGGAAUUCUGCUGUUUAUGGGAAAUCUGAAGGAGCAUCUCCCAGUAUUCUUCCACCAUGUUGCCCUGAUGAUUGAGGUAAUGUUAAUUCAGCUCUUAGGUAAUGCAGAUGUGGUCAAAAGUUUACACACACCUUGCAGAAUAUACUGCUUCAUCAGAGUAGUAAAUGUAUUU